GUGAGAAUGGCCGAGCGGUCUAAGGCGCCAGAUUUAAGCUCUGGUUCUCGAAAGAGAGCGUGGGUUCGAACCCCCCUUCUGACU
rnacentral:tRNA from 13 species